CUACCUACGGGGGGCAGCAGUGGGGAAUAUUGCACAAUGGGGGAAACCCUGAUGCAGCGAUGCCGCGUGGAGGAAGAAGGUUUUCGGAUUGUAAACUCCUUUUAUCAGGGACGAUAAUGACGGUACCCUGUGAGAAAGUCACGGCUAACUACGUGCCAGCAGCCGCGGUAAUACGUAGGUGACAAGCGUUGUCCGGAUUUACUGGGUGUAAAGGGCGCGUAGGCGGAUGUGCAAGUCAGUCGUGAAAUACCGGGGCUCAACCCCGGGGCUGCGAUUGAAACUGCACACCUUGAGUAUCGGAGAGG
rnacentral:rRNA from 1 species